rnacentral:lncRNA from 1 species
GGCACGCCGCCUCGUGUCGGGAGGCCCUGGGAGAUGUCGGGACAGCGUUGAGGAAAAAUACGGCAGUAGAUUAAAACAGAAACCUCCAGAGAAAGAACAUUUUUCACUGAGCAGGCCAGAAAAAAAAAAAGAAAAGAAAAGAAAAGAAAAGAAGCCACUGCAGCUGCGUGCCGAGAUGUUGGGAUUAUGUAUCUGCAAGACUGUUUUCGGCAUGAGAGCACUGCAUAGAAAUAACGUGAGGAAAAACACGUCAGCCACUUCAUCUGUGUACAACAUACACGAUCUUUGCAUGCUUUGCCAUUUUCCUUCCGUGUGGGCCUAUUAAAGUUAAUGGGAAUCUGAGGUGCGUAGUAGGUGCUGUGACUUUGCACUUGCAAACUAUUUGCUGGUGUCGUCUUCCAUUAUUUUCUUGCACAGAAAUGAAGGGUUGUGCCUAGUCCUAAAGCCUAGUGCUGAAUUUUUAGAUUAUCAUUACCUGAUUAUGUUUCUGUCCUAUUUUGCUUGGUAAUGUAAAAGAACGGAGGGUUGGCACUUACUGGAAGUCAGGUGGUUGACAUAGAAAGUCCUUGAAAAAAGUACCAUAAUGACAUGGAAUUUUUCUCCUGCUCUUUGCAGUAAGCUUUACUCCUUGCCUGCCCCCUCAGCUGAACUGUUAUUUUGCAAGUAGGAGGAAAAGGUUUUAUUUUUUUGAAAUAUGUGCUUUCUGAGUUGAAGUCUGAGAAGCAUUUGUUUUAAUGCACCUUUGAACCACGGCAAAGGGGACACAAACUUGUAGUGUUUUUCAUAAACAUUUUUUAGAAGGAAGGGUGCUCUACUGUUUAUAGCAUUAGCAUGGUCUUUUGUGAACCAUUCCACGUGGCUUGGGCUGAAAUUUUGUGUGUGUGGUGCUUAGACAAGGAUUUGGCUCUGCAUUAGUGUUCCAUCUGGAGCAGAUCUGAUUUCAGUGAUUCUUAACCCUUCCUCCAGCAGUUUCUCUCUACUCCCUAUUACUCAAUUUCUCUGGAGGUUACUGCUUCCUCAGUUGUAUUGGGUGUCCUGACUGGAAGGAUCCAGGUUUAGCUAUCCAGACGUUAUUCUGAUUGUCUUAAAACUCAAAUAGUUUAGUGUAUGAACUGGAUGAUACUUCCUGGGAGACAGGUGGAUGGGAACAAGCAGCUGGAUGCACAGAAGUAAGGGUGCUGAGAACCUCCAGAACUGAGGGAACAUUUAUAGAGAAUUGCUCUCUAUACUGAGUAAGUUAAGAUGCAUGAGCUGUAAUAAUCACCCCUUUUUCUAGGCUAUCAGAACUGUAAGGGAAAAUAAAUUAGCUGAAAACUCUUUCA